rnacentral:rRNA from 1 species
UACGGGGGGGGCAAGCGUUGCUCGGAAUUACUGGGCGGAAAGAGCGCGUAGGCGGGCGGGCAAGUCCCUCGUGAAAGCCCACGGCUCAACCGUGGAAUUGCGGGGGAAUCUGCUCGUCUUGAGUCCGGGAGAGGAGUGUGGAAGUCCCAGUGUAGCGGUGAAAUGCGUAGAUACUGGGAGUAACACCGGUGGCGAAGGCGGCACUCUGGACCGGUACUGACGCUGAGGCGCGAAAGCUAGGGGAGCAAACGGG